CAAAAGAGGCUGAAGGUUAAGUCAAGGAUUUCCCUGGAGAGAGCUGUGUGGGGGGGUCCAUUCCUGAUCCUCAUGGAGGAGGGUGGGAGUGUCUCUCUUUCCUAGUGAGCUGGGCCUCAAGAGGCCAUGGGAAACCGUGACAUGUGACUCCUCGAGUCUUGAGCAGAUGGUGUCUGGCCACACUGGAUUUGAUUCCAUCAUACUAAGUACUCUUCAAGGCUGUCUCAAAGACUCCUGGCCUUGAGCAACAGUUCUUUAAUUUCCUUGGGUACCUUCACUCUGUCUAGAAUAUGAUGCAAGUUGUAGCUCUUCCUGCCUCCCCCUCUGCAAAACAAAACAAAUAAAACAACACAAAACACAUGGAAACCCGGUUCUACAUGCAAUCUGAGAAGAUAAGGUGACCGUGCAAGUCUAGAUGCGACUCUAAAAGGACACCGGUCUCGGAAGACAGGUUUGGAAUAUAUUGUAAAGGAUCAUGCAUAACAAGAAGACUUUCUACAGAAAUUGAUAGAUAAUGAUUCUCCUCCUGUUGUCUCCAACUUGCUGAGAGAUGGGUGGAACUUGCAGUCUAGAAGACAGCCAGGUGAACACAACUGCAAGUGAAGACGUGUCUUAAUUUGGAACAUAAGGGAAGAAAACACCACAUAUCACCCUUCAUCACAGCUCUUGAUGAUGCAGAUCUUUCAGGUGUGGUUCUUAUGCGAAUGUGACGUGGUCCAUUUUUGCUGACAGUGAGGUGAGGAGCCAGCCCCCUGAUGACU